CAGCCACACUGGAUUCAACUGAUGGGCUUCCCUUUAAAGAUAAAAAUUUGUGUGGGGGCUUUUAUGAAGAGGAAUAUGGAGUGAUCCUCCCCUAUCUGGGACUGCACACGGAAUGCCUCUGGAUCAUCAACAUGGACCCAGGUUACAAAAUUCUUUUGGAAGUACGCCAUCUCUACCUCAAUUGUGAUAAAGAGUCUCUGGAGAUUAUAGAUGGGCUGCCAGGAUCUUCUAGCUCAUGGAAGAUUUGUGAAGCUUCAUAUGCGGAAUACACAUCUUCUGCCAAUAUCAUGACCAUCAAAUACACAAGAAAGCCCAACCACCCUGUCUCUGUCUUCUUAUUACUUUUCCACCGUGUGUUGUAGGGUAGGUUUUAGAGAGCAGAGACCUUCUGCUCUGCCUCACCCCUGUCCGUGAAUGGCUCCACAGGAGCUAGGUGUGUGGUACUUACGUGACUGUUGAAAUAAACUUGACCUUCACUGGGUGAGUGACAGGUAGGGUGACCCACUGAGGCUCUCCAGAAUCAUCCACCAGUUCUAUCCCAGCCUUUCUGCAAACCCCAGGAUUUUGAGUUGGAAAGUCCUGAUAUGAAAAUUCUUUUACAAAUUUUAUUUUUCAUCUCAAUGAUGUGAAAAUUUCCUCCCAAAUGUAAAAUUUCCCUUCUUGAUCUUUUUAAGAAUCCCUUUGGCAUUUUCCAAUAAAUUUAUUUUAAAUUUAAGG